AAAACAUCUUCUCUUGUGAUAAUUCGAGAUAUAACCUGCCCAGUGAUAUAUUUAUUGAAUGGCUGCGGUAUUUUGACCGUGCAAAGGUAGCAUAAUCAUUAGUUUAUUAAUUGUAAUCUUGUAUGAAUGGUUUAAUGAAAUAUUUACUGUCUUCUUUAAUAUAUAUAUAAUUUAAUUUUUUUAUUAAAAAGUUAAAAUUUAUUUAAGGGACGAGAAGACCCUAUAGAUCUUUAUUUAAUUUAAUUUUUAUUAAUUAAUUUAUUUUUAAAUAUUUAAUUGAAUUGUUGGGGUGACAGGGGGAAAUAAAAAACUCUUUUUAUUAUUUUUCAUUUAUUUAUGUUUUUUUAUUAUUUAUUAUUUUAUAUAAUUAGAUACCUUAGGGAUAACAGCGUAAUUUAAUUUGAGAGUUCAUAUUGACAAUUAAGAUUGCGACCUCGAUGUUGGAUUAAGAUAAAUAUUUGAUGUAGAAGUUAAUAUAUUUGGUCUGUUCGACCAUUAAAUUCUUACA
rnacentral:rRNA from 1 species